rnacentral:piRNA from 1 species
GGAAUUGGUUCAUCCUUUAAUGCCUC